rnacentral:tmRNA from 1 species
GGGGCUGACAUGGAUUUGACAGCAGGGGUUAGUGGUAUGUAAGCAUGCCGAGCGCUGUGAUACCGGCUCGAUAAUCCCGGACCACAAAAAUUAUCUGGCGAAGAAAAUUACGCUCUCGCUGCUUAAUCGAAGUAUAGUAGAUUGGCUUCAUCCUUGCUCAAGGAGCUUGGACGAGACAUCUUCCGGGUGCCCCUUCCCAAGGCGACCCGAUUUGGAGGUGCAGUAAAUUGGGAAUAGCCUGAUGGCAGCCUCGGCUUGACGGCGAAACCUUUAGAGGCUAAGGGGAUGUUCGGGUGUCUGUUCCCACACAUCUCUCGAAAACUAAUAACAGAAUAAGCAUGUAGAAAGCAUAUGGCUUCCUUGUUUGGACGAGGGUUCAAUCCCCUCCAGCUCCACAA